AUGCACAGCCAUCUGUUGGGACUCUGCAAGUAUCUAAUGCUCAAUAUCUGGUGUAAUAGUGCCCUCAAUGGCGAAGACUUCUACCUGGGCCCUGCGAAACAGCACCAGAUCAACCAAAGAAUGAUUGCCGUACACACCCCGUCCGAUAUCUCCAGGGAUCGAAGAUCAUUAUUUCAGUGUGCAAACUGGAAAGCGAAUGAAUGGCGAGCUUGGCUUUUUUAUUAUGCUCCCAUGUGCCUGAAAGACAUACUCCCUCAAAGGUACUACAACCAUUUUUGCUUGUUAAGUGUGUCAUUGUUUUUCUUUACUCAAAGCUCCAUUGAGAAAGUAAAAAUUGGUACCUACGGUGGUUACCUUUCCUUAUUUGUCCGCCAGUACGAAGAGUAUUAUGGCUUGAUACACUGCACUCAUAAUCUCCACUUGACUGUCCAUAUUAAAGAAUGUGUUGUAAGCUGCGGACCUUUGUGGGCAUACUCUACUUUCCCAUUCGAAUCUGGUAACGGAUACCUUGUGAAGUUAAUUCAAGGUCCAAUGGGCGUCUCGCAACAAAUUGCUAAUAAAUUCUGUACCUAUGCAAGCAUUCCAAAGGUCGUCGCCUUCCACCCGCCUUUGAAUGAUCUUGUUGGAGACUUCUGUGACAAAAUAUUAUCGCUCCGCAGAUUCAAAUUUGCUGCUCAUUGUGAGGGAGGUAUCACAAUAGUUGGUGAUAAGUUCAGAUCCCGCUUUCAUCCAAACAAUGAUGAACUCCUUGCAAUGGCAAAUGUAAUACCAAAUUUUAUUAAUGAUGCUGAUGUUUCCUUUUACUUCAUCAAGAAAAUAAUCCUCCAAAGACGCAUUUAUAAGUCAUGGCCAACUAAGCUUCCAUACAGAAGAAAUGAUUCUUUUGUACUGCUCCACAAUAAUACAUUCAUGAAGAUUUUGAAAUUUUUUGUAACUUCAUUGAACCCGAACCAGCUAUAUUUUAUUGGUCAGAAAGUUCAAGUGAAUGACGACCAAAGAGAACUUUUCCCGUCAACGAUUUUCAUCUGA
rnacentral:lncRNA from 1 species